rnacentral:rRNA from 1 species
AUUGAACGCUGGCGGCAGGCCUAACACAUGCAAGUCGAACGAGUGGCGGACGGGUGAGUAAUGUCUGGGAAACUGCCCGAUGGAGGGGGAUAACUACUGGAACGGGAGAUAAAACCGACAACCAACGGGUGGGCCCAGAUGGGAUUAGCUAGUAGGGGGGGUAACGGCUCACCUAGGCGACGAUACCUAGCUGGGCUGAGAGGAUGACCAGCUACUCUGGAACUGAGGCACGGUCAAGACUCCUCCGGGAGGCAGCAGUGGGGAAUAUUGCACAAUGGGCGCAAUCCUGAUGCAGCCAUGCCGCGUGUAUGAAGAAGGCCUUCGGGUUGUAAAGUACUUUCAGCGAGUAGGCGUUACUCGCAGAAGAAGCACCGGCUAACUCCGUGCCAGCCGCCGCGGUAAUUC